rnacentral:rRNA from 1 species
CGCACGGGUGAGUAACACGUAUCCAACCUGCCGUCUACUCUUGGACAGCCUUCUGAAAGGAAGAUUAAUACAAGAUGGCAUCAUGAGUCCGCAUGUUCACAUGAUUAAAGGCAUUCCGGUAGACGAUGGGGAUGCGUUCCAUUAGAUAGUAGGCGGGGUAACGGCCCACCUAGUCUUCGAUGGAUAGGGGUUCUGAGAGGAAGGUCCCCCACAUUGGAACUGAGACACGGUCCAAACUCCUACGGGAGGCAGCAG